ACGGGAGGCAGCAGUGGGGAGUAUUGCACAAUGGGGGAAACCCUGAUGCAGCAACGCCGCGUGAGUGAUGAAGUAUUUCGGUAUGUAAAGCUCUAUCAGCAGGGAAGAAAAUGACGGUACCUGACUAAGAAGCCCCGGCUAACUACGUGCCAGCAGCCGCGGUGAUACGUAGGUGGCAAGCGUUAUCCGGAUUUACUGGGUGUAAAGGGCGCGUAGGCGGGAAAGCAAGUCAGAUGUGAAAUCCAUGGGCUCAACUCAUGAACUGCAUUUGAAACUGUUUUUCUUGAGUGUCGGAGAGGUAGAUGGAAUUCCUAGUGUAGCGGUGAAAUGCGUAGAUAUUAGGAAGAACACCAGUGGCGAAGGCGAUCUACUGGACGAUAACUGACGCUGAGGCGCGAAAGCGUGGGGAGCAAACAGGAUUAGAUACCCUGGUA
rnacentral:rRNA from 1 species